UGCGGUAGGAUCAUUGA
rnacentral:rRNA from 2 species